UUGCUGGUGUCUGACUUACGACAGACCAAAAGGGAAUGCGACAGGCGAUAACUUGGGGGCAUCGCGCCCCCGUGGGCAACCUGAAAGCAGCCGCCCCCGCGACCGUGACCGGAGAGGUCGCCCGAAGGCCACUGGUGCCCUUUCAAAGGGGGCCGGGAAGGCGGGCGGCCGGGAACCCUCCGCAAGCCGGGAGACCUGCCAGCAAC
rnacentral:ncRNA from 1 species